rnacentral:rRNA from 1 species
GACGUAGGGCGCAAGCGUUGUCCGGAUUUAUUGGGCGUAAAGAGCUCGUAGGCGGCUUGUUGCGUCGACCGUGAAAACCCGUGGCUCAACUGCGGGCUUGCGGUCGAUACGGGCGGGCUAGAGUUCGGUAGGGGAGACUGGAAUUCCUGGUGUAGCGGUGAAAUGCGUAGAUAUCAGGAGGAACACCGGUGGUGCAGACGGCUCUCUGGACCGUAACUGACGCUGAGACACGAAAGCGUGGGUAGCAAACAGG